ACCCUGUGGUUACUGGAGGCUGCAAUUCCGUGCAGAACUGCAGUUAUUAAAGGGCCUAUAUUAACACUGUGAUUUUAAGCAUGGCGGCUAAAUUCUCAUUUAACUUCCAUAGCCCGGUCACAGUCACAUAU
rnacentral:snoRNA from 1 species